rnacentral:rRNA from 1 species
AGCCUAUACAGGUGUUGCAUGGCUGUCGUCAGCUCGUGUCGUGAGAUGUUCGGUUAAGUCCGCUAACGAGCGCAACCCUCGUCGUAUGUUAUAUGUGUCAUACGAGACUGCCGGUAAAAGCCGGAGGAAGGUGAGGAUGAUGUCAAGUCAGCAUGACCUUUAUAUCCAGGGCUACACGCACGCUACAAUGGUCUGUACAAUGGGUAGCCAAGCCGCGAGGCGGAGCCAAUCCUGAAAGCAGGCCUCAGUUCAGAUUGCAGUCUGCAACUCGACUGCAUGAAGCCGGAGUUGCUAGUAACCGCAGGUCAGCAAUACUGCGGUGAAUACGUUCCCGGGUCUU